GGUGAACGCUGGCGGCGUGCUUAAGACAUGCAAGUCGAACGGCAGUCUUCGGACUGUAGUGGCGCACGGGUGAGUAACGCGUAACUGACCUACCCCAAAGUCGCGGAUAACGAUUCGAAAGAAUCGCUAAUACGUGAUGUGCUGUCAGAUUGUGUUCUGCCAGUAAAGAUUGAUGGCUUGGGGGUGGGGUUGCGUUCCAUCAGCUAGUGGGUGGGGUAAAGGCCGACCAAGGCGACGACGGAUAGCCGGCCCGAAAGGGUGGCCGGCCACAGGGGCACUGAGACACGGGGCCCACUCCUACGGGAGGCAGCAGUUAGGAAUCUUCCACAAUGGGCGAAAGCCUGAUGGGGCGGCGCCGCGUGAGGGAUGAAGGUCUUCGGAUCGUAAACCUCUGAAUCAGGGACGAAAGACACUUCGGUGGGAUGACGGUACCUGAGUAAUAGCACCGGCUAACUCCGUGCCAGCCGCCGCCGUAACAC
rnacentral:rRNA from 1 species